rnacentral:rRNA from 1 species
CCUACGGGGGGCUGCAGUGAGGAAUAUUGGUCAAUGGCCGGAAGGCUGAACCAGCCAUGCCGCGUGAAGGUCAGUGCCCUAUGGGCGUUAAACUUCUUUUGUGCGGGAGCAAUAAUGGUCACGUGUGGCCAGACGAGAGUACCGUACGAAUAAGCAUCGGCUAACUCCGUGCCAGCAGCCGCGGUAAUACGGGGGAUGCAAGCGUUAUCCGGAUUUAUUGGGGUUAAAGGGGGCGUAGGCUGUGAGGUAAGUCAGCGGGGAAAUGCCCCCGCUCAAAGGGGUGAAGUGCCAUUGAUACUGCCGUGCUGGAAUGCGGAUGACGUGGGAGGAAUGUGUGGUGUAGCGGUGAAAUGCAUAGAUAUCACACAGAACACCGAUUGCGAAGGCAUCUAACGAAUCCGCGAUUGACGCUGAGGCACGAAAGCGUGGGUAUCAAACAGGAUUAGAUACCCUGGUAGUC